GACAGAGGUGCCAAGCGUUAGGCGGAAUCACUGGGCUUAAAGCGUGUGUAGGCGGGUCGUUAAGUGUCUUGUGAAAUCCCCCGGCUCAACCGGGGAAUGGCUGGGCAUACUGGCGAUCUUGAGCAGUCUAGGGGCAGAUGGAACAGACGGUGGAGCGGUGAGAUGCGUAGAUAUCGUCUGGAACGCCAAAGGUGAAAACAGUCUGCUGGGGACUUGCUGACGCUGAGACACGAAAGCCAGGGGAGCGAACGGG
rnacentral:rRNA from 1 species